rnacentral:tRNA from 1 species
GGAAGGGUGGCUCAGUGGUAGAGCGCUACCGACUGGCAUGCCAGAUAUCGGUCGGUAGUUACCCCGCAAAAGGGCUCCGCGUGGUUCGACUCCCGCCCCUUCCA